rnacentral:tRNA from 1 species
GGGCGUUUGGUCUAUGGUAUGAUUCUCGCUUUGGGUACGAGAGGUCCCGAGUUCGAUUCUCGGAACGCCCC